GAUGAACGCUGGCGGCGUGCCUAAUACAUGCAAGUCGAGCGAACAGACGAGGAGCUUGCUCCUCUGACGUUAGCGGCGGACGGGUGAGUAACACGUGGAUAACCUACCUAUAAGACUGGGAUAACUUCGGGAAACCGGCGCUAAUACCGGAUAAUAUAUUGAACCGCAUGGUUCAAUAGUGAAAGACGGUUUUGCUGUCACUUAUAGAUGGAUCCGCGCUGCAUUAGCUAGUUGGUAAGGUAACGGCUUACCAAGGCAACGAUGCGUAGCCGACCUGAGAGGGUGAUCGGCCACACUGGAACUGAGACACGGUCCAGACUCCUACGGGAGGCAGCAGUAGGGAAUCUUCCGCAAUGGGCGAAAGCUUGACGGAGCAACGCCGCGUGAGUGAUGAAGGUCUUCGGAUCGUAAAGCUCUGUUAUUAGGGAAGAACAAAUGUGUAAGUAACUAUGCACGUCUUGACGGUACCUAAUCAGAAAGCCACGGCUAACUACGUG
rnacentral:rRNA from 1 species